UACGUAGGUGGCAAGCGUUACUCGGAAUCACUAGGCGUAAAGCGCAGGUAGGCGGUUGGAUAAGUUUCUUGUGAAAGCUCCCGGCUUAACUGGGAGAGGCCAAGGAAUACUGUCUGACUUGAGUGUGGUAGGGGUAACUGGAAUUACCGGUGUAGCGGUGAAAUGCGUAGAUAUCAGGAGGAACACCGGUGGUGUAGACGGCUUUCUGGACCGUAACUGACGCUGAGACACGAAAGCGUGGGUAGCAAACAGG
rnacentral:rRNA from 1 species